UUUGCAGUACCAACUUUUGCUUCUACUUCUAUUAAAAUAAGCUGCUUUAAGGUAAAACAUAAAAAGCACCCCCGGACCAACUUCUCUAAAACAAGUUGCUGGAAAUUGAUUUUUCAUGAAAUCUCCAAACACGUUAAAAAUAAACACUUAUUAUUAACUAUACUCAUAAUAACCAACUUCCACUGAUUACUUUUUGAGCUUUUUUUUCGGCUCAAAAUCAUUUUUUAAGUGUUUGCAGUACCAACUUUUGCUUCUACUUCUCUUAAAAUAAGUUGUUUUAAGGUAAAACAUAAAAAGCACCCCCAGACCAACUUAUCUAAAACUAUAAGUUGCUGGAAAUUGAUUUUUCAUGAAAUUUGCAAACACACUCAACUGUUAAAAAUGAACACUUAUUAUUAAGUUCAAUCAUAAUCACCAACUUAUAUUUUUGAAAAGCUUUUGCAGACACCACCUAUAAUACUUGUUGACAUUGUGAUCCGAAUUCUAUAUUGGAUC
rnacentral:lncRNA from 1 species